UCCAGUUGAUCCUGCUGGAGGGUACUGCUAUCGGAGUUCGACUAAGCAUGCAAGUCUAACCCUAGGACUUCCUGGGGUGGCAGACUGCUGAGUAACACGUAGUCAAUCUACCCUAUAGACGGGGAUAACCUCGAGAAAUUGAGGAUAAUACCCGAUAUUCCUCUUAUGCUGGAAUGCUUAGAGGUUUAAAUGGGCGGUGAAUUGGAGCCGUUCCGCUGUAGGACGAGACUGCGGGGGAUUAUGGUUGUUGGUAGGGUAAUGGCUUACCAAGCCGAUAAUCUCUAGGGGCCAUGAGAGUGGUGGCCCCCAGAAGGACACUGAGACAAGGGUCCUAGCCCUACGGGGUGCAGCAGGCGCGAAACCUCUACAAUGCUGGAAACAGUGAUAGGGGGACUCCGAGUGGCGUCGGCUAGGCUGGCGUCUUUUUGCCAAGUGUAAAUAGCUUGGAGAAUAAGGGUGUGGGCAAGACUGGUGGCAGCCGCCGCGGUAACACCAGCGCCUCAAGUGGUACCCACGAAUACUGGGCCUAGAGCGUUCGUAGCCGGCCAAAUAAGUCUUCUGUGAAAUAGUAGGGCUUAACCCUACUGCGCGCAGGAGAUACUGUUUGGCUUGGGAACGGGGGAGGUCAGGAGUACACCCGGGGUAGGGGUAAAAUCCUUUGAGCCUGGGUGGACUACCAGUGGCGAAGGCGCCUGACCAAAACGUGUCCGACGGUGAGGAACGAAAGCUGGGGGAGCGAACGGGAUUAGAUACCCCGGUAGUCCCAGCCGUAAAUGAUGCAGACUGUGGUGUUGCUUCAGAGUUAAUCUGCAGCAGUGCUGUAGCGUAGGUGUUAAGUCUGCCGCCUGGGGAGUACGGCCGCAAGGUUGAAACUUAAAGGAAUUGGCGGGGGAGCACCACAAGGGGUGGAUGCUACGGUUUAAUUGGAUACAACGCCGUGAACUUCACCAAGGGCGACGGCAGAAUGAAGGUCAGACUAAAGAUCUUACCUAACAAGCCGAGAGGUGUUGCAUGGCCAUCGUCAGCUCGUGGCGUGAGUUGUCAGGUUAAGUCCUGCAACGAGCGAGACCCAUACCAUUAAUUGCUACUUUUACCUUUAGUAAGAGGCACCUUAAUGGGACUGCCCGCGUUAAGUGGGAGGAAGGAGUGGGCGACGGUAGGUCAGUAUGGCCCGAAUCCCUUGGGCUACACGCGGCAUACAAUGGCUGGAACAAUGGGUUGCUACUCCGAAAGGAGACGCUAAUCCCCUAAAUCCAGUCUUAGUUCGGAUUGAGGGUUGAAACUCACCCUCAUGAAGCUGGAAUCCCUAGUAAUCGCGUGUCAUCAUCGCGCGGUGAAUACGUCCCCGCUCCUUGCACACACCGCCCGUCAAGUCACCCAAAUGUGGUGUAGGUGAGGCUCCGGUUUCUGCCGGAUUCGAACCUAUGUUGCGUGAGGGGGGCUAAGUCGUAACAAGGUA
rnacentral:rRNA from 1 species